AGACCCGAAACCCGGUGAUCUAGCCAUGGGCAGGUUGAAGGUUGGGUAACACUAACUGGAGGACCGAACCGACUAAUGUUGAAAAAUUAGCGGAUGACCUGUGGCUGGGGGUGAAAGGCCAAUCAAACCGGGAGAUAGCUGGUUCUCCCCGAAAGCUAUUUAGGUAGCGCCUCGUGAAUUCAUCUCCGGGGGUAGAGCACUGUUUCGGCUAGGGGGCCAUCCCGGCUUACCAACCCGAUGCAAACUGCGAAUACCGGAGAAUGUUAUCACGGGAGACACACGGCGGGUGCUAACGUCCGUCGUGAAGAGGGAAACAACCCAGACCGCCAGCUAAGGUCCCAAAGUCAUGGUUAAGUGGGAAACGAUGUGGGAAGGCCCAGACAGCCAGGAUGUUGGCUUAGAAGCAGCCAUCAUUUAAAGAAAGCGUAAUAGCUCACUGGUCGAGUCGGCCUGCGCGGAAGAUGUAACGGGGCUAAACCAUGCACCGAAGCUGCGGCAGCGACGCUGAUGCGUUGUUGGGUAGGGGAGCGUUCUGUAAGCCUGUGAAGGUGGCCUGUGAGGGUUGCUGGAGGUAUCAGAAGUGCGAAUGCUGACAUAAGUAACGAUAAAGCGGGUGAAAAGCCCGCUCGCCGGAAGACCAAGGGUUCCUGUCCAACGUUAAUCGGGGCAGGGUGAGUCGACCCCUAAGGCGAGGCCGAAAGGCGUAGUCGAUGGGAAACGGGUUAAUAUUCCCGUACUUGGUGUUACUGCGAAGGGGGGACGGAGAAGGCUAUGUUGGCCGGGCGACGGUUGUCCCGGUUUAAGCGUGUAGGCUGGUUUUCCAGGCAAAUCCGGAAAAUCAAGGCUGAGGCGUGACGACGAGGCACUACGGUGCUGAAGCAACAAAUGCCCUGCUUCCAGGAAAAGCCUCUA
rnacentral:rRNA from 1 species